rnacentral:misc_RNA from 1 species
GAUGAAGAACGCAGCGAAAUGCGAUAAGUAAUGUGAAUUGCAGAAUUCAGUGAAUCAUCGAAUCUUUGAACGCACAUUGCGCCCCUUGGUAUUCCGGGGGGCAUGCCUGUUCGAGCGUCAUUAUAACCCUCAAGCCUAGCUUGGUGUUGGAGCAUGCUACCUAAGCAGCUCUUAAAAUCAGUGGCAGUGCCCUUCGGCUCUAAGCGUAGUAACUUCUCUCGCUAUGGAACCCGGAGGGUACGCGCCAGAACCCCAAACUUUCUAUGGUUGACCUCGGAUCAGGUAGGGAUACCCGCUGAACUUAAGCAUAUCAAUAAGCGGAGGA